CACGUAGGGGGCUAGCGUUGUCCGGAAUCAUUGGGCGUAAAGAGCGUGUAGGCGGCUCGGUAAGUCCGCUGUAAAAGUCAAAGGCUCAACCUUUGAAUGUCAGUGGAUACUGCCGGGCUAGAGUCCGGAAGAGGCGAGUGGAACUCCUGGUGUAGCGGUGGAAUGCGCAGAUAUCAGGAAGAACACCGACGGCGAAGGCAGCUCGCUGGGACGGUACUGACGCUGAGACGCGAAAGCGUGGGGAGCGAACAGG
rnacentral:rRNA from 1 species